GGUCAGAUGCCGUCAAUGUACAGUGCAAGAAAGGUGGUGCUUAGGCAGAGUUGAAAUACGAUCAUAAAAGUUUAUAGAACUAAGAAAUAAUAGGAAAUAUAGCUUUGUAACGACAUACAAAGCUGUGUAUAUCAGGUUGGUGACACGGAUGACUCUGGGUAUCAGAGGAUAGCUCAGAUUAGAGUGGAGGUACUUCUCCUCGUGGAGAGCUAAUCAUCACUGUUUCGCGAAGAGCAGGGGAGAGAACGUGCUUGAUAGGCCCUCCGUGUGUAUUGUCGAGUUACGAGUAACAGUGGAACAUCAUCGAGGCUGCUACCGUUGUCUAUGCUGCCAUAGAAACUAAUUUGUUGAAUGUUUAAAGCCAUCUCCGUAGACCCCGGAUGUGGCACAAUUAAUGCAGCACAAUUACGCAGUCUGGAAUAAAACAACCCACAUUUAAUAAUUUCAACCUGUGCCCCGUCGCAAUUAUUCAUUCACUUUACCGGGCCACAUUAACUUAAAACCUUAAAUCUACAUUAACUUUGUUAAAAUUAUACACCUGUAAUAAAAAAAAAUGAUAAAAAAAACUCAACACAGCUUGUUCUUCAACAGAACAAACUAACUAACAAACUAAAACAGAACAAAAACAUACUCACUGAGGAAAAGUUUGGACCCAACUUCUCAUCCUCAUUAAACUGAGAAGGUGGAUCUAAACUUUUGACUGGUAGUGUACAUCCUAAUAUACAGAGCUUUAGAAGAUUGAAGUGGAUUUAUAGUCUUCAUAAUGUAUUAACUUGUCAAAUUUAAAAUUACACAAAACCUGUGAAUCUAUACGCAGCUGAAUGCAAUUCUUAUGAAUUCAUAUUUAAAAAAAGUAAAAGUUAAAAAGUCUUAAAAGAUGAAAAUUACCUCUGGUGUGUUGCCUGACAAGGAUCCGCAUGCGUCCACAUCCUCAGCCUGAGAUGGCAUCUCUUUGGAGAUCUGAAAUGUAAAGAACAAUCACUGAAUGCAAGUUUGUUUCUCAUGUACAAAACUCAGUCCUCCUUAUUCCUGCACCUUACAUGUUGAGUAUUACACAGGACCUGUGUGUCUGCACACUUCUAAAUGUACUUUCAUUCCUUUGUACGUGUAAUUUCAAAAUUCAGUCCUCCAAAUUCCUGCACCUUACAUAUUAAGGUUACAUCGUACCUGUGUGUCUGAAUACUGCUGAAUAUCAUUCUCAUGACUUUAUUUUAGACAAUGAAUAUGCCUUAAAAGAUAAA